rnacentral:pre_miRNA from 1 species
CCUCUCUUCCCGUCACUCUCCGUUAUGAGGCAGCGCAGCGAGUGACAGGAAGAGAGGCA